AUGCUGCCAGUGAUACUGCCUUUUAUUGCCUAAUCUUGAUGCUGUCCUUGUCUCUCGCCACAGAGGAGUGAAUUCCACUCUGGGAAGAGUGCGGGAUACAUGGUAACAUGUUCAUUGCCUGCUUGUUGAAUGAAUGAAAAUGAGAGUGAUGGACACAGGCGUAUAACCUCUGAGGCUGAAGGAAGGGGAGACAAGGGCAUGGACCUGGUACCACCUCCCACCCGAGUUCUGUCUUCCCUGGGCUCCCUUGGUCAGCAGACGGAGAGACCCGGCAGACCCCAGAAAAACCUCACCCGAGCCUGUUAUUGUGGGCAGCCCCUGUGGAUUCCGCUUACGGGGAACAAUUUGAGAGGCAAACAAAACAUGAAAAGCUACUCAGAA